GACGAACGCUGGCGGCGUGCUUAACACAUGCAAGUCGAACGGAAAGGCCCUGCUUUUGUGGGGUGCUCGAGUGGCGAACGGGUGAGUAACACGUGAGUAACCUGCCCUUGACUUUGGGAUAACUUCAGGAAACUGGGGCUAAUACCGGAUAGGAGCUCCUGCUGCAUGGUGGGGGUUGGAAAGUUUCGGCGGUUGGGGAUGGACUCGCGGCUUAUCAGCUUGUUGGUGGGGUAGUGGCUUACCAAGGCUUUGACGGGUAGCCGGCCUGAGAGGGUGACCGGCCACAUUGGGACUGAGAUACGGCCCAGACUCCUACGGGAGGCAGCAGUGGGGAAUAUUGCACAAUGGGCGGAAGCCUGAUGCAGCAACGCCGCGUGCGGGAUGACGGCCUUCGGGUUGUAAACCGCUUUCGCCUGUGACGAAGCGUGAGUGACGGUAAUGGGUAAAGAAGCACCGGCUAACUACGUGCCAGCAGCCGCGGUGAUACGUAGGGUGCGAGCGUUGUCCGGAUUUAUUGGGCGUAAAGGGCUCGUAGGUGGUUGAUCGCGUCGGAAGUGUAAUCUUGGGGCUUAACCCUGAGCGCGCUUUCGAUACGGGUUGACUUGAGGAAGGUAGGGGAGAAUGGAAUUCCUGGUGGAGCGGUGGAAUGCGCAGAUAUCAGGAGGAACACCAGUGGCGAAGGCGGUUCUCUGGGCCUUUCCUGACGCUGAGGAGCGAAAGCGUGGGGAGCGAACAGGCUUAGAUACCCUGGUAGUCCACGCUGUAAACGGUGGGUACUAGGUGUGGGGUCCACUCCACGGGUUCCGUGCCGUAGCUAACGCUUUAAGUACCCCGCCUGGGGAGUACGGCCGCAAGGCUAAAACUCAAAGGAAUUGACGGGGCCCCGCACAAGCGGCGGAGCAUGCGGAUUAAUUCGAUGCAACGCGUAGAACCUUACCUGGGUUUGACAUGGAUCGGGAGUGCUCAGAGAUGGGUGUGCCUCUUUUGGGGUCGGUUCACAGGUGGUGCAUGCCUGUCGUCAGCUCGUGUCGUGAGAUGUUGGGUUAAGUCCCGCAACGAGCGCAACCCUUGUUCACUGUUGCCAGCACGUUAUGGUGGGGACUCAGUGGAGACCGCCGGGGUCAACUCGGAGGAAGGUGGGGAUGACGUCAAGUCAUCAUGCCCCUUAUGUCCAGGGCUUCACGCAUGCUACAAUGGCUGGUACAGAGAGUGGCGAGCCUGUGAGGGUGAGCGAAUCUCGGAAAGCCGGUCUCAGUUCGGAUUGGGGUCUGCAACUCGACCUCAUGAAGUCGGAGUCGCUAGUAAUCGCAGAUCAGCAACGCUGCGGUGAAUACGUUCCCGGG
rnacentral:rRNA from 1 species